rnacentral:rRNA from 1 species
GAUUAAACUGAAGAGUUUGAUCCUGGCUCAGAUUGAACGCUGGCUGCAUGCUUAACACAUGCAAGUCGAACGAGAAAGUGCCUUCGGGCGCGAGUAAAGUGGCGGACGGGUGAGUAAUGCAUAGGAAUCUGCCCAGUAGUAGGGGACAACUCGGGGAAACUCGAGCUAAUACCGUAUAUUUCCUAAGGGAGAAAGACUUCGGUCGCUAUUGGAUGAGCCUAUGUCAGAUUAGCUUGUUGGUAGGGUAAUGGCCUACCAAGGCGACGAUCUGUAGCUGGUCUGAGAGGAUGAUCAGCCACACUGGGACUGAGACACGGCCCAGACUCCUACGGGAGGCAGCAGUGGGGAAUNUUNNNCAAUGGGNGAAA